GACGAACGCUGGCGGCGUGCUUAACACAUGCAAGUCGAACGGAAAGGCCCUGCUUUUGUGGGGUGCUCGAGUGGCGAACGGGUGAGUAACACGUGAGUAACCUGCCCUUGACUUUGGGAUAACUUCAGGAAACUGGGGCUAAUACCGGAUAGGAGCUCCUGCUGCAUGGUGGGGGUUGGAAAGUUUCGGCGGUUGGGGAUGGACUCGCGGCUUAUCAGCUUGUUGGUGGGGUAGUGGCUUACCAAGGCUUUGACGGGUAGCCGGCCUGAGAGGGUGACCGGGGACAUUGGGACUGAGAUACGGCCCAGACUCCUACGGGAGGCAGCAGUGGGGAAUAUUGCACAAUGGGCGGAAGCCUGAUGCAGCAACGCCGCGUGCGGGAUGACGGCCUUCGGGUUGUAAACCGCUUUCGCCUGUGACGAAGCGUGAGUGACGGUAAUGGGUAAAGAAGCACCGGCUAACUACGUG
rnacentral:rRNA from 1 species